rnacentral:piRNA from 1 species
UACGCUUGGGGAGCCUGGCUUAGGCU